CCUACGGGGGGCAGCAGUAGGGAAUCUUCCUCAAUGGGCGAAAGCCUGAUCCAGCAACGCCGCGUGGAUGAAGAAGGUCUUCGGAUCGUAAAACCCUGUUGUUAGAGAAGAAAGUUCGUGAGAGUAUCCGUUCACGUUUCGACGGUAUCUAACCAGAACGCCACGGCUAACUACGUCCCAGCAGCUGCGGUAAUACGUAGGUGGCUAGCGUUAUCCGGUUUUAUUGGGAGUAAAGGUAACGGAGGCGGUCUGUUAAGUCAGAUGUGAAAGCCUUCGGCUUAACCGGAGUAGUGCAUUUGAUACUGGGAGACUUGAGUGCAGAAGAGGAGAGUGGAACUCGAGGUGUAGCGGUGAAAUGCGUAGAUAUAUCGAAGAACACCAAUGGCGAAGGCAGCUCUCUGGUCUGUCACUGACGCUGAGGUUCGAAAGCGUGGGUAGCAAACAGGAUUAGAUACCCUAGUAGUC
rnacentral:rRNA from 1 species